UUUAGUGGCGAACGGGUGCGUAAUACGUGAGAAUCUGCCCUUAGGAGGAGUAUAACUGUUGGAAACGACUGCUAACACUCCAUAUGUCGAGAGAUGAAAUAAUUUAUUGCCUAAGGAUGAGCUCGCGCCUGAUUAGCUAGUUGGUGAGGUAAUGGCUCACCAAGGCCACGAUCAGUAGCUGGUUUGAGAGAACGAUCAGCCACACUGGGACUGAGACACGGCCCAGACUCCUCCGGGAGGCAGCAGUGAGGAAUUUUCCGCAAUGGGCGAAAGCCUGACGGAGCAAUACCGCGUGAGGGAUGAAGGAUUUUGGUCUGUAAACCUCUUUUCUCAAGAAAGAAGUUCUGACGGUACUUGAGGAAUAAGCAUCGGCUAACUCCGUGCCAGCAGCCGCGGUAAUACGGGGGAUGCAAGCGUUAUCCGGAAUCAUUGGGCGUAAAG
rnacentral:rRNA from 1 species